rnacentral:piRNA from 1 species
UACUGGAGAGAAAUGCUACGAGUUUGAUGU